rnacentral:misc_RNA from 1 species
UGAGUGGUGUUUGGUUUGUUUGGGUGGUUGGCUCUCAGCUUUGCUACAACUUCCACCUSGCUUACCUCUUCGGUUAUCUGUCUAGGCAUUUAUUGCCUAGGUGGAAUGUGGGUUUCCUGUGUUGCCUACCUAAGUGACGGUAUUACCUUGAUCGAUUGGUGUCCCUUUUCAUCUUUUGCCAUUCCAUGACAUUAGAUGAACCAUAAAGUUGUCUCUUUGAGCCAUGACAUUGCUUGUYGAUGUUGUGGAACAUUGAGCAUUGCUCGGUCUCUUGGAUACGGAACGUGAUGUGGGCAUGGGGUCUCUUGAGAUCCUUGUGUUGCCCUCAUUAAGCGUUGUCGCUUCUCUCGAAAACGACUUCUUGACACGCAGUGGCUCGUACCAGCGUGUCGAGUUUAGUCAAAGAGGAAUGCUACCUGGUUGAUCCUGCCAGUAGUCA